CCUACGGGAGGCAGCAGUGGGGAAUAUUGCACAAUGGGCGCAAGCCUGAUGCAGCCAUGCCGCGUGUGUGAAGAAGGCCUUCGGGUUGUAAAGCACUUUCAGCGGGGAGGAAGGCGUUAAGGUUAAUAACCUUGGCGAUUGACGUUACCCGCAGAAGAAGCACCGGCUAACUCCGUGCCAGCAGCCGCGGCAAUACGGAGGGUGCAAGCGUUAAUCGGAAUUACUGGGCGUAAAGCGCACGCAGGCGGUCUGUCAAGUCGGAUGUGAAAUCCCCGGGCUCAACCUGGGAACUGCAUUCGAAACUGGCAGGCUAGAGUCUUGUAGAGGGGGGUAGAAUUCCAGGUGUAGCGGUGAAAUGCGUAGAGAUCUGGAGGAAUACCGGUGGCGAAGGCGGCCCCCUGGACAAAGACUGACGCUCAGGUGCGAAAGCGUGGGGAGCAAACAGGAUUAGAUACCCCGGUAGUC
rnacentral:rRNA from 1 species